UGGACAGAUAUGAAGAGGCA
rnacentral:miRNA from 1 species